rnacentral:rRNA from 1 species
GCAUAUCAAUAAGCGGAGGAAAAGAAACCAACAGGGAUUGCCUCAGUAACGGCGAGUGAAGCGGCAACAGCUCAAAUUUGAAAUCUGGCCCUAGGCCCGAGUUGUAAUUUGCAGAGGAUGCUUUUGGUGCGGUGCCUUCCAAGUUCCCUAGAACGGGACGCCAGAGAGGGUGAGAGCCCCGUACAGUUGGACACCAAGCCUUUGUAAAGCUCCUUCGACGAGUCGAGUAGUUUGGGAAUGCUGCUCAAAAUGGGAGGUAUAUUUCUUCUAAAGCUAAAUACCGGCCAGAGACCGAUAGCGCACAAGUAGAGUGAUCGAAAGAUGAAAAGCACUUUGAAAAGAGGGUUAAACAGCACGUGAAAUUGUUAAAAGGGAAGCGCUUGUGACCAGACUUGCGUCCGGUGAAUCACCCAGCUCUCGCGGCUGGGGCACUUCGCCGGCUCAGGCCAGCAUCAGCUCGCUGUCGGGGACAAAAGCUUCGGGAACGUAGCUCUCUUCGGGGAGUGUUAUAGCCUGUUGCACAAUACCCUUCGGCGGGCUGAGGUACGCGCUCCGCAAGGAUGCUGGCAUAAUGGUCAUCAGCGACCCGUCUUGAAACACGGACCAAGGAGUCAACCUUAUGUGCGAGUGUUCGGGUGUCAAACCCCUACGCGUAAUGAAAGUGAACGCAGGUGAGAGCUUCGGCGCAUCAUCGACCGAUCCUGAUGUUCUCGGAUGGAUUUGAGUAAGAGCAUAUAGGGUUGGACCCGAAAGAAGGUGAACUAUGCGUGUAUAGGGUGAAGCCAGAGGAAACUCUGGUGGAGGCUCGCAGCGGUUCUGACGUGCAAAUCGAUCGUCAAAUAUGCGCAUGGGGGCGAAAGACUAAUUGAACCUUCUAGUAGCUGGUUCGC